rnacentral:rRNA from 1 species
GGAAUAUUGGACAAUGGGCGAAAGCCUGAUCCAGCCAUGCCGCGUGUGUGAAGAAGGUCUUCGGAUUGUAAAGCACUUUAAGUUGGGAGGAAGGGUACUAACUUAAUACGUUGCUACUUUGACGUUACCGACAGAAUAAGCACCGGCUAACUUCGUGCCAGCAGCCGCGGUAAUACGAAGGGUGCAAGCGUUAAUCGGAAUUACUGGGCGUAAAGCGCGCGUAGGUGGUUGGUUAAGUUGGAUGUGAAAGCCCCGGGCUCAACCUGGGAACUGCAUCCAAAACUGGGCGACUAGAGUACAGUAGAGGGUGGUGGAAUUUCCUGUGUAGCGGUGAAGUGCGUAGAUAUAGGAAGGAACACCAGUGGCGAAGGCCACCACCUGGACUGAUACUGACACUGAGGUGCGAAAGCGUGGGGAGCAAA